rnacentral:rRNA from 1 species
CCUACGGGGGGCAGCAGUGAGGAAUAUUGGUCAAUGGACGAGAGUCUGAACCAGCCAAGUCGCGUGAAGGAUGACUGCCCUAUGGGUUGUAAACUUCUUUUAUAUGGGAAUAAAACGUUCCACGUGUGGGAUUUUGUAUGUACCAUAUGAAUAAGGAUCGGCUAACUCCGUGCCAGCAGCCGAGGUAAUACGGAGGGUCCGAGCGUUAUCCGGAUUUAUUGGGUUUAAAGGGAGCGUAGGUGGGUUGUUAAGUCAGUUGUGAAAGUUUGCGGCUCAACCGUAAAAUUGCAGUUGAAACUGGCAGUCUGGAGUACAGUAGAGGUGGGCGGAAUUCGUGGUGUAGCGGUGAAAUGCUUAGAUAUCACGAAGAACUCCGAUUGCGAAGGCAGCUCACUGGACUGCAACUGACACUGAGGCUCGAAAGUGUGGGUAUCAAACAGGAUUAGAUACCCUUGUAGUC